rnacentral:piRNA from 1 species
UCCACACCUGCUCUCUGCUUACUAAAUGC